rnacentral:ncRNA from 1 species
AAAAAUGCUAUGAUAAGAAAGAGUAACAUGAGCUAAACUGACAGAGAGAGAUCCCUUAGGCUGAAAAGAUCUUGAGUGUAACUUGUGUGAAUGCACCUUUGAGCACUGCCUCGAAAGUUAGUAGACGGCAGCGGGUACGCCCGUUAAAGCGUUAUGGUAUGUUUGUACCUGAUUUAAUGAGAAGCCAUAACAUAUUUAUGUCUAUGGUAAUUAGAGUGGGACCGCGGAAUAUAACUUCUGCCUCUAAA